rnacentral:rRNA from 1 species
GGCGAACGUUAGCGGCGCGCCUAACACAUGCAAGUCGCACGAGAAAGGGAGCAAUCCCCGGUACAGUGGCGCACGGGUGAGUAACACGUAGAUGACCUUCCCUGGAGUGGUGGAUAACCUGCCGAAAGGCGGGCUAAUACAGCAUGGGACCACAUGGUUUUGACCGAGUGGUGAAAGCGGGCCUCUGUUCACAAGCUCGCGCUCUGGGAUGGGUCUGCGUCCCAUCAGCUAGUUGGUGAGGUAAUGGCUCACCAAGGCAUCGACGGGUAGCUGGUCUGAGAGGAUGACCAGCCACACUGGAACUGAGACACGGUCCAGACUCCUACGGGAGGCAGCAGUGGGGAAUCUUGCGCAAUGGGCGAAAGCCUGACGCAGCGACGCCGCGUGGGUGAUGAAGGCCUCGGUUGUAAGACC